ACUUAUAUAUUAUAACUAUUAUAUUUGAUUUCCAAUCAAAAGAUCUAAACAACUUAGUAUAAGUAAU
rnacentral:tRNA from 1 species